GCCGGGUGAGGUGGCGGGCGCCUGUAGUCCCAGCUACUCGGGAGGCUGAGGCAGGAGAAUGGCGUAAACCCGGGAGGCGGAGCUUGCAGUGAGCUGAGAUCUGGCCACUGCACUCCAGCCCGGGCGACAGAGCAAGACUCCGUCUCAAAAAAAAGAAAAAAAAAAAACCCAGAAUGAUUUGCUUCAAUUAAAAAUUAAUUAUAUCCCAAGAGCAGGGGUCUACCAGGUUGUCUUAGGGGAGGGGUGAACUGGCCCAGGUCGGAAAUGGAGCAGGUCAAAACUCCCCUGCUGAUCAGGGUGAUGGGGAUUGGGAUCAAGAUUGCUCCUGUGAAUAGCCACUGCCUGCAGAACAUAGCGAGAUCCUGUCUCUU
ensembl:misc_RNA Metazoa_SRP Metazoan signal recognition particle RNA